GGUCGGUUAGCUCAGUUGGUAAGAGCGUGGUGCUGAUACAACGCCAAGGUCGCGGGUUCGAUUCCCGCACCGGCCA